ACGGCCAUGUUAUUGUUAGUGCAAGUUUCAGCUUCCAUGAGAUGCCCGAAAUGCUUUUGUUCGCCAGAUUCUGUUCAGGAGCCUUUUUCUGUAACUUGCUUGCUAUGGUGGCUGCCUUUUGGUGCUAUGAUAGCCAUACCCAGCUGUAGCUGUUGCCUGUAGCUUUAUUCAGAGCUCGUGUGCAGUAUAUGACACUGUUUUAUUUGUACUAGGUUGUAUGCAGUUAUGCACUUUUAUAACAUCUAACUUGUUUCUUGUCUAAUGUUUGAAUAACACAUUAUAUACUGAUGUUCAAAUUUAGCUAAUCCUAAUUCAUACAAUAUUAAUUUCAAUUGAGUGAACUUCUUACUCGAUUGCUUCUUCCCUUCUAUCCUCUGAAGUAUUUUUUAUGAUUGAUAAUUGAAUUUGUGAUGAUUCUAACUGAAAAUAUGUGCUUAAUGCAUGUUCUGGAUUAAACCGUGCUUCUAAACAUUUUGUACAUUGUGAGUUUGUGAUCUUUCAGACUUUCAAAAUCUGCGUGUGCAAUCGUACUAUGGAACUCUGAAUAGUUUUGUCAUCUAUUUGACUAAAGCGAAGUUAUGAUGCCUUAAACAACCUGAUCAUUUUAUCCUUUUUGUUCUCCUUGAAACCUGAUACUGAAAUUUCAGUGCUCCUUUUUGGUUCUACUUGAAACCUGAUACUGAAACCGGAUACUUACAUGCAGAUAUGGUUAAAUCCAUUCAUUACUAAAUCGAUUCUUUCCUAUCUGAAACCAAAACUAUUGCGUACAUGCUACUCGUGUGCUUUACGUUUUGUGUUUUUUUCUGAAUAUGACUCAAUUUUUGAUCGUACCUACUCAAGGGCACAAGGAUGAGUUCAACGGUGGAUGCUGCUGUAAGGAAAGGCUCUGUUGUCUUAACAAGGACGGAAAGUAUAACCGAAUACAUAAACAAGGGUGGACAACCCAGAUCUGGACCCAAAGACUUAGCUGGACAGGGUUGAAGUACACAAAAAACGCACAUAGUUUAUAGAGUUCAACUACCAUGGUAGCAAUGGACUCAACUCUGCUGGAUUGCUACAUUUUACUUUAGUUGCAUUUGAUGGAUAUUUGAUAUGAGAAUUAUGAUUUGUAUGAACCUACAUAUUAUACGUGUGGAUUUGAAUUUUGAAAUUCAAUGGUUGUAUUUUUUUAUGGUUGCGAUAA